rnacentral:rRNA from 1 species
UAGGGAAUCUUCCACAAUGGACGCAAGUCUGAUGGAGCAACGCCGCGUGAGUGAAGAAGGUUUUCGGAUCGUACAGCUCUGUUGUUGGUGAAGAAGGAUAGAGGUAGUAACUGGCCUUUAUUUGACGGUAAUCAACCAGAAAGUCACGGCUAACUACGUGCCAGCAGCCGCGGUAAUACGUAGGUGGCAAGCGUUGUCCGGAUUUAUUGGGCGUAAAGCGAGCGCAGGCGGAAGAAUAAGUCUGAUGUGAAAGCCCUCGGCUUAACCGAGGAACUGCAUCGGAAACUGUUUUUCUUGAGUGCAGAAGAGGAGAGUGGAAUUCCAUGUGUAGCGGUGGAAUGCGUAGAUAUAUGGAAGAACACCAGUGGCGAAGGCGACUCUCUGGUCUGCAACUGACGCUGAGGCUCGAAAGCAUGGGUAGCGAACAGG